GUGACCUCAAAUCAGGUAGGACUACCCGCUGAACUUAAGCAUAUCAUUAAGCGGAGGAAAAGAAACUAACAAGGAUUCCCCUAGUAACUGCGAGUGAAGCGGGAAAAGCUCAAAUUUAAA
rnacentral:rRNA from 1 species